UUCCAGCUGUGAACCAAACACAACUCACAGAACCACUCACAACUUUGUCUCACUGAACAGUUACAACACUUCACCUCAGUGAACAUGGAAAAACUCGCUGCUCUUUUGUUCUUCUCAGCUCUCGUAGGAAACAGCUUGGAGGAUGAUAUUACUGCCAGCAGAGCUGAAGUGUUUUCAUCAGAGGGUCGUACUGUUACUCUGUCCUGUAAAUAUUCAGUUAAAGCUCAAAACCUCCAGUGGUACCGACAGGAUCCUGGAUCAGGUCCUCAGUAUCUUCUCCUCAUCACUGACACAAAGGAGCCUGAUGUGGUGAAAGCAAAACCUCCACACCCUGGACUGACUGCUGAACUGAACGAGGAGAGGAAUCAAGUGGAUCUGCAGAUCUCCUCUGCUGCAGUGACAGACUCUGCUGUGUACUACUGUGCUCUGACGCCCACAGUGACAGGAAACAGCACAACUCUGUACAAAAACCUUUGGAGAAAAGACAACAGAAUACUCCACAACAUCCACUAGAGGGAGUCACACACUGUUCAACCUCAAUGGUUUCUUAUGAUCCAUUCUAGUAUUCACAUCAAGGUGUUUCUAUUAUUGCUUGGUUUGGAAACCUAAACUUGUCCAAUGAGAACAGACUUGAAAGUCUUGGUAAAAUGAGCAGGAAGAUCUCAGGGAGGAGUCAGACCAAGCUUUUGCUCAUUUAUAACAGGCAGGUCCUUUGGAGGCCUUAUGCUAUAUUGGACUGUCAGGACCAUCCACUUCAGAGGGAGUUUGUGCUGCUGUCCACAGGCCGUCAUUUCAGGACACCUGUUCUGAGGACUGAAGGGCUCCAUGUCUCUCUCAUCCCAAAUGCAACUGAUGUUUCAUGGACACUAACACUUUGGUUGCAUUCCUUGAACGACCCUGGCACAUCUGCUCACUUGUGUAUUUGUAAUUUGUGUGAAUUUCCAUUUUCUUGCUCUAAAUUUGUGAUUUACUGUUGAUGCUGUUGUUGAUGCUGUU